UACGGGAGGCAGCAGUGGGGAAUAUUGCACAAUGGGUGCAAGCCUGAUGCAGCCAUGCCGCGUGUAUGAAGAAGGCCUUCGGGUUGUAAAGUACUUUCAGUCGUGAGGAAGGUGUUAAGGUUAAUAACCUUAGCAAUUGACGUUAGCGACAGAAGAAGCACCGGCUAACUCCGUGCCAGCAGCCGCGGUAAUACGGAGGGUGCGAGCGUUAAUCGGAAUUACUGGGCGUAAAGGGCACGCAGGCGGUUAAUUAAGUUGGAUGUGAAAUCCCCGGGCUUAACCUGGGAAUGGCAUUCAAGACUGGUUAGCUAGAGUCUUGUAGAGGGGGUAGAAUUCCAUGUGUAGCGGUGAAAUGCGUAGAGAUGUGGAGGAAUACCGGUGGCGAAGGCGGCCCCUGGACAAAGGCUGACGCUCAUGUGCGAAAGCGUGGGGAGCAAACAGGGAUUAGAUACC
rnacentral:rRNA from 1 species